ensembl:lncRNA
GGGAAGCCAGAGGUCCGGGCUGAGGUCCCUGUGCCACAGGUUCUCAGCACGAUGCCUUACUGCGCGAGCCCAAACUUGUGUGCCUCAGCUUCCUUGUCGGCUUCGAGGGGAUAAAGAUGCCUGUCCUGGGCUGGCCUGGGGUUGGGUGGUGCCCCUGCAUCCCCAAGUGGAUGGUGAGCCAGAGGGCAGGAGCCACAGCUUCCUCGGUGCUGCGUGCAGAAGGGGAAGAAGGGCAGCCGGUGGGAACCGGGACCCAGGCGGAGAGGAAGGCCAGGUGUCUCCACUUAUCAUAAGAGUCUCCAGCGUACAGUUCUCGGUACAGUUCUCCAGAAUGAGGAAACAGAAGUCACCUGCUCAGGGUCACACAGCUGCUCACCAGCGCAGCCUUAACCCAAUCCCGGGCGGCACUCCUGGCACUGUGCUCGUAACCACUCUGCUGUCCUGCCUGGCCCUCCCUGGACCGCUCUGCAAUCUCUGGGCAAGUCUGGAAUGGAGUGUCCAGCCCCCCAUCUGACACGUGCAGGCUCUGUCUUCUCUGCUUCCAGACUUCAUCCAGACCCCGGGCAUGGGGGAAAACCGGUUGGAUGGGGGAGCCCAGGGGUUCCUGGGGUGAGGGAAUAAAGGAGUGGUUAUUCUUAGCCUGGACUCUUAGUAUCCUAUUCAUAGGCAAGGCCUCCCGGGGGACGGGCCUCCGGGCUCUAACCCUCUAACCGCAGGCACUGGACUCAGCGGAUCAUCAUCGCAGCGCCUGUGCAAGGCGGUCUGCUGACCCAGCCCUGGGCAGCCGGC